rnacentral:lncRNA from 1 species
AGGGGUGUGCAUUCGGUUUAUCGAUUCGAUUUUUAUCCUUAUCGAUAAUUACUUAUCGGUUAUAGAUUUUUACAUAUGCUUAUCGUUAUCGUUUCAAUAAGGUUUUGAUUUUUUCGAUUUCGAUGUAUUGAUUUUUGGGGCUUAUCGAUUCGAUUAUCGAUAACACCAAUAAGCCAAUAGGCGGGCUGCACACAAGACCAUCCCACUAGCAUUACAAAAAGAUAGGCUUGAACAAAUUGUUGCUUGAGUUCAAAUUUUUCCUUAAAAUUAUUUUGUCUGCACUUGCAGGUUGAAAAUUCUACUUUUUUGAGUCGAUCAUUUCUUCUUUCUUCGGAGUGUUCAUGCUUGAAUAUAUUUAUUCAUAUAGCUACUGAGAAUUUGAUUCAAUCAAAUAAAAAAUUUCUAGCAGCAUCAUGGAAACAAAAAAGAAGCAGUAGCAAAGGCAGUCAUACCACGCAAGCUUGGUUUUCUGGAUUUGUACUAGCAUUUGCUUGGCCAAGCGAAGAGCUAUCUUGAAAGUCUUUCUCUCAAACUUCGUCAAUGGCAAAGAGCGGCGCUGGAACUGGAACUGGAAAUUGGAAAAUAAAAAUAGGGACUAGGGUUGGCUGAGUCAUAUAUCUUUUAUAUAUAUAUUGCGAAGCAGCCAGCGACCAGACCAGCGAAUUACUUAAUUGAUAGGGUAGUAAAUAGUAAUAGUAUUAUAAAAUAAGGGCAUAUUUAUCUUUUCAAUAUAUCUUAUCGAUUUAUCGAUAAACCGAUAAACCGAAUGGCCAAAAUCGAAAUCGAAUCGAUAAACCGAUAAGGAAAAUUUUCCGAAAUCGAAAUCGAAUCAAUAAACCGAUAAACCGAUAUCAAUAAACCGAUAACAAAUAAUCGAUUCGAUUUAUCGAUAAACCGAUUCGAAUGCACACCCCUAUUAUUGAAUACUUUGUCAGCAUAAAACAACAAAAAUAAUCCAAGGGCAAAACAUAGCAAAUCAUAAUAAAUCAUUGGGCCAAGCAAAAGAUAUGAAGAACAAACAUCGGAAAUUAGGGAGAAAUAUAUUAAGAGACUUUAUUGAUUGUAGUAAUUUGGUCUCCCUCUUCUUGGAGAGGUUCAUAGUCUUACAAUGACGUUCUCUUCUCCCAUAAUAUGAACAUUAGUGUAUAUCUCUUUCUUGUGAAUAGUGUUGAAGAAGAAGCCCCAUUUCUUAGGGUUCUCUCUCUUGAUAUUUAUAGUUGUGAGCUUCUUGAGCUGGCAAUAAGUGGUUGUGGCCAUGUAAAGGCUUCGCCUUUGUAACUGCGGAAGGAUCGUGUCCCUGUUGAUUAGAUCAGACGAGUGUCGAAUGCCAUUAGUUCAGAGUGGUCAUACUUCUCAUUAAUCGUGAAUUAAUUAGGAGGGAAUUAGUUUGGGUAAUCGUCCUGGGGUCGGAUUCUGACCCACACAAUUAAUCCCUCCAUUCGUCGGGGAAGAAGCUCGUCGGCCCUGGCGGACGGACUGUGCGUUGCGUGGUCAUGAGGAAUGAAGGCGUGCUUUCUAUGCAUUCGGCAGCGUAUACGAUUUUGAAGACGCACAGAACACCUUUUCGGCAUUCGCGUUGCGACGGGUGAGACGCCGGUCGGUAACUGAAAAGUUGCUUCGUGGAGCCUAUCAUAAUGACGCACGUUCUAUGGAACUAAACCGUUUUGUAGAAAGUGAUGUAUUUAAUGAUGGCUAUUGGGUUUCGUGAUGGCCAAUUUUGUUCUUCAUAAAUAGAGCGGGUUUGGCAUUUUUCACGAUACUUUCAUUGAUCACUUGAGAGAGAUUUUAGUGAAGCAUUUAUGCCUGCUAUUCCGUCUUCAUCUCUGUUCUUUGAUUACUGCAACGUUUGUUUGUUUUCAUCAAACCCUACUUCUCCUUUGCUCGUGAGUUAUCAAUGGCAGGAAAUUCUUUUCACAAAGAUCUUCCGGCUAAUCUUCCGGCGAUUGAAGAUCCAGUUCCGGCAUCUGGAAAUAUAUAACUGGUGGAAAGCGAUGAAGUCCCAUUGGUCGAUGAGGUCGUAUUUUUGCCCGGCGGUCUGGUGGUGGACUUCACAACUGAUGGUGGGGCGGAGCAGGUGGAUAAAGCUCCAUUAAUAGGAGGAGUAGAGAUAUCCCAAAUGCGAGAACAAUGGGGUAUUCCAAGCUAUAUCGAUAUUGCUCUUGCUAACAAGGAGGACAGGGUCCAGAUCGAUGGUAGAGGGUAUUGCGUAUUUUACGCCUACCCCUUCAAGGUGGGAUACACGCUCCCGUUUCCAAUGCCCGUGGUCGACUGUUUUCGUUAUUACGAGGUGUGCCCGACCUAGAUUUUUCCUACUCUCUAUAAAUUGCUCUCGAUGUUUAUUAAGUACGUGGAGCUAGCUGGUAGAGAGGUCACGCUGCAAUAUGUGCUCAGUCUCUACGCUCCCCAAAAAUUCUGUGGCUCCAUAAUACAUGCGUGCCCUCAUGGGUCGAGGGGCUUGGCCAUAAUUAGAUGACAAGAUCGAUCGUCGCCCCUUUAAGCAUUUCUUUUAUAUCAAGAUCGAGCAUCUAGUGGCGGACCCGACCGGGUUCCCAGAAGUUUGGAAUUUUGCACGUAAGUUCAUGAUAAUAAAAUACCCCCUUUUUAACUCUCUUUACUUCUAAUGUUCGUAAGAUUUGACUCAUGGCAUUGUUUUUGUAGGUGAAAAGUUGUCGCCGCCUCCGUUGGCUAGGAUACGAGAGUGGGUUAAGGUCGUUCUCCCCCAUACGGUGGGGAUUCGCACAUGGGCGUCUUUCUGGGAGAGGCAUGUUCGCCGGCCCUUGACAGGUGGAAUAUCGACUUCUUCUUCUCGUUCAUUUCAUUUUGAUUCCAGUUGUUGAAUUUGUUUGUUAUUAUGGCCAAGGAGAGCACGUCGCAUCAGGGCUCCCCAGUUGGCUUUUCGUCAGUCGGCUGCGAUUGCUCGGCUUGCUGCAACACUGAUGCCACACCUAGUAUCUAGGGCAGCAUUGAUUGAGUCAUCAACGGCCCCUUCUCCGACACGGAUGCUCCUCGAGAUGGAGGGUCUUUGGGGGUUGUUCGUCCUCGAGCGGAGUCACCAUCGAAUAGGGAGGGAUAUAAGCCAUUGCAGAAGUUGAGGGUGGUGUUUGCAGCAACACCUAUAAUGGUAAUUAAUUUGGACUCCCCUAGUGGAUGUAGAGAUAAGUGCGGUUGUGGUGCCCACCAUUGAGGGUGGGCGAACAGUGGGGGUUGCCCCGAUUAACUUAAUCCAGGAUGGUGCUGUUGUUUCGGUGACUCAGUUGGAGUUUUCAGUCGCUGAGGCAGGAGGUCAUUCCUCAGCGAUUGCUAUUGUCUAUUCAAGUGCUCCUUCAGCAGCCACGGCGGGUUAUUCCACAUCAUCAGCGGCGGAGAGGGGGAGGAAUGUGGUAGCAGACGAGUAUGAGUCCGAGUCCGAUCUGGACCCCGACGACGUCCAUAUGUUUCAAGAAGAUUUCACCAAUUCUUGGUACGUGUAGAGGGGAGAGAUUGCUUCAUCGAGGUCCCUAUGGAAUUGAAUUUGUUGCUCCAAGGGAUUAGCUUGGUGCCGCAGUUUGAACUGUUGUGCUCGAAGAUCGAGAAUGCGUCAUUGAGGGACGUCUCGGAUAUUAGGGUGAUGAACGAAGUGGCCGUGAUGGGCCUGAGGUUAUGCAAUACGACUUUGGUUCGUUUUUUCUGUGCCUUGGCUCAUUCUUUAUUUUAAUUAUUGUCUUCAUUUUGCAGACUUACUUGUUGCAGGGGUAGAGAAUCCGUCGAGCCAACAUCCGCUCGAGGAUAUUUUUGCAGGUGCUGGGGAAGUAUCGUUGCUACCGUGAUCGGUGCUGAGAGAUGCAUGAGCGUUUGAGGAAUGAUCCCCGCAACAAGGCUCUGGGCGAGGAUCUGGCGAGGCGGGACCAACAGUUGCAACAGGCAAUUGUCAGUAGAAGUUUUCUCGAGGAGCCAAUCCGUCAGAAGGAUGCGGAGCUCGAGGUGGGAAAGAGGUAUGCAUCUGAGUGUGAGUGCCUACAGAAUAAGUUGAGGGAGAUGGAGUUGGAGGCUGAGCAGAGCCGGAUCAAGGUGGCGUAGGCCAAGGCAGCAUGGAGUGGGAAAGUGACGACACUGGAAAGUGAAGUUGCGACUUCAAAACUUCUGGCGAAGGCUGCCUCGGCGAGGGUUGCAAGGUUGGAGGAGGCAAUCCAUGUGCACGAGUCUCAGCGGGAAUCAGAGAGGGCUACUACGGAUCUUAGAGAAGAUGGGCUCAAGGAGCGGAUUAGUGCUUUUUAGCAGGAUGCCGAAGUUAUUUCGGAUCGGAUUGCGGCCUUAGAAGAAGAGAAUCAGCGGCUACAGGACAAGGCUGCUACUUCCAACCAGGCUUGCAAACUUUGGGUUUAUGCUGUGGCUCAACAUGAUAUCUACAAGAAUUUAUAGGAUGUCGGUACCGUGACCGAAGCUACUUUCGAGGUGGUGCGUCAGAAGGCUUGUGAGGCCCGUGUCGACUAUGGUUUUGGUGUAGCGAUGUUAUAGGCUGAUGAUGGUGCAGAUGGUGGCUCGGAUGGUACCGAGUAAAAAAAAGAUUUGCUAUUGAUUUUCCUUUGUUCUGUUCACCAUUUGGCGUUCAGUUGUUUAUCAUUUUACUUUUAUUUUUUCUUGUAUUGACCGGCCUUGGACAGGUGUAUGCGGGGAUGACCCGCACUCAACUUUGUUGAUAAAUAAAAUCUAUUUUAUGUUGCUUGUCUUGUGUUUAUUUUGUACCUUCUUCUUUUUGCCUUUUAAGACAUUUCUUUUUUGUUGUCGCGUUGGGAGAGACUACUCGCUUUUGAGUUAGACUAGGGUUGGUGUAUCAGUCUUUGACUGAUAAUGGUUUUGCUUUUUGACACGGUAUGAACGAGUCUAAGUCAUUAUUUGGCGAUAGUGGCACUUAGCCUUAGUCCCAGUUCAGGCGUGUUCGAACUACCACAUGUGAUGGUAAAAAACGCGGCCUCGUAGUUUGACCAGGGCCAAACUUUAACUUGUAGGCAAUGGCAUGUGGCCCGAAUCUUAGUUCAAGUGAGAAGGACUUACUUGAAUGGAGAGGAUGCUUAGACUGUGCCUCAAUUCGUUGGAAGUUGGACUUGCUGAGCUUAAUGACGAGGGCGCAUGGCCUGAGUUCUAGUUUGACUUAGGUCGAACUUUGUUAAAUUUGAUGGCGAAGGCGCUUGGCCUUACAGUUCGAGCAAGGUCGAACUCGUUGAAUUUAAUAGCGAAGGUGUUUGGCCUGAGUCCUAGUUCAACUGAAGUUGAAUUGUUAAAUUUGAUGGAGAAGGCGCUUGGUCUUAUAUUUCGAGCGAGGUCGAUCUCGUUGAAUUUAAUAACGAAGGUGCUUGGCCUGAGUCCCAGUUCAACCAAAGUUGAAUCUGUUAACUUCGAUGGCGAAUGCGCUCGGUCUUAUAGUUCGAGCAAGGUCAAACUCGUUGAAUUUAAUGGCGAAGGAACUUGGCCUGAGUCCCAGUUCAACUGAAAUUGAACUUUUAAAUUUGAUGGCAAAGGCGCUUGGACUUAUAGUUCGAGCGAGGUCGAACUCGUUGAAUUUAAUGGCCAAGGCGCUUGGCCUAAGUCCUAGUUCAUCGAAGUUGAAUCUGUUAAAUUUGAUGGCGAAGGCGCUUUGCCUUACAGUCCUAGCGAGGUCGAAAUCGUUGAAUUUAAUGACAAAGGUGCUUAAGCUGAGUCUUAGUUCAACGGAAGUUGAACCUAUUAAAUUUGAUGGAGAAGGCGCUUGACCUUAUAGUUCGAGCGAGGUCGAACUCGUUGAAUUUAAUGGCGAAGGCACUUGGCCUGAGGCCUAGUUCAACCGAACUUGAAUUUGUUAAAUUUGAUGGCGAAGGCGCUUGGAAUUAAAAUUUGAACGAGGUCGAAAUCGUUGAAUUUAAUGGCGAAGGCACUUGGCCUGAGUCCCUGUUCAACUGAAGUUAAACUGUUAAAUUUGAUGGCGAAGGCACUUGGCCUUAUGUUCGAGUGAGGUCGAACUCGUUGAAUUUAAUGGCGAAGGCACUUGGCCUAAGUUCAACCAAAGUUGAAUCUGUUAAAUUUGAAGGAGAAAGCUCUUGGCCUUACAGUUCGAGCGAGGUCGAACUCGUUGAAUUUAAUGGAGAUGGCGCUUGGCCUGAGUGUUAGUUCAACUGAAGUUGAACCUGUUAAUUUUAUGGCGAAGGUGCUUCCCCUUAUAUUUCGAGCGAGGUCGAACUUGUUGAUGUCACGACUCCAAUCCCAGUCGUGAUGGCGCCCAACAAUAAAUGCUAAGCAAGCCCGACCAAUUAACACUCACAACUCAACCACACAACCCAUUUCCAAUUUAUAGCAUUAAAUUAUCAAGUAAUAUAUUUCUAACCAGUAAUAGUAGACAGAGGUAUUAAGAAAAUCAUAACAACUGCCAAUAAAACUCCUAAAGACCUGGGGUCAUCAGUCUAGAGCCUCUAGGAUAAUAAAAUAAUUAAUUUUCAGUAAUUUUGAUGUUCACAAAUGCGGAAAUAAUAAAGGGACAGGGGAGGAGUCGGGCCAUGCGGACAUCAAGCAGCUACCUCAAAAACUCCUAAGAAACUCUGAAACAACAAAUAGCACAACUAUGCUCCCGAGGUACCUGAAUCUGCACACAUGGUGCAGCGAGUAAAGUGAAUACUUCCAAUUGAGUGGUAAUAGAUAUGUAUAAUGACUGAAAGUAUGAAAUCCUGAAAAUACCACAAUAUAAAGCUGAAACUAACGACUUAGCACAUUUAACGGGUGAAACAACAGAAAAUCAGAUACAGGCAGACAAAUAGAUAUCAAUGCAUGAAUGCAAUGCAAUGCACAUGACCGAUGCGGAGUACAGCCCGAUCCAUUGGGUACCCACACUCACUAUGGGGGAUCAGACUACGGAGGUCUCCUAUAGCCCAAGUGCAACAUCAUCGUAGCAUUCGAUGUGACGUGCAACCCGAUCCACAAUCAGUCCAAUUAUAUGCAUGCAAGCCACACUGGCACAAUCAAAUUUACCAUUUUCCAUUCCAUUUAUCGGAUAUUAUAGCUUAAGUGUUUUAAAACCUUAUUAAUUUACUAAUCAUUUCGAGACAGUGUUUAACUCAGGACUGAUAUCAUGGAAACAUGCUCAAGAUUAUGGAAAUAGUGAUAAUAAUCCCUAAGGGAUCCAAAUAAUCAGCACGUAUCCCAAAUAUGCUCAUAACAAUCCAAGUAGGAUGUUUACAAUCAAUUUCUAGUCAAUAACACAGUUUGGAAAGCACUUGGACGGACUAAGCCAUAGUCCUCGUCAACAAGUGACCCGCACUCACCGUAGAGUACGUGUCUCGCCUCAAUACAGCGGCAUAGUGUGAUAUACUAGGGUUUCAAACCCUCGGGUCAUCAUCUGCAUCUAUUACUCACCUCAAGCCGGCCGAAGACUAGCUCUCAAUGCCCUUUCCUCUCGUGUCGGCCUCCUCACGCGUCGAAUCUAGCCAAAACCACAACGAAUACGUUACAAUAGGCUAAUAGGACACAGUCUAAUAAAAAAGACUCGAAAAACACCAAAAAUCACGAAGUUGGCAAAACCCGAGACCCGGGCCCACUUCUCAAAAAAUUACAAAAUUUACAUCAGCGGACUCCUCGUCUUGCCACGAGUCUAUGCAUAUCAGAUAUACCAAAAUCGGAGUUCAAUUGCUCCCUAAAAUCUCAAAUUCUCAUUUCAAAAGCCCAAAGCCUAGUUCUUCAAUUAUUCACCCAAAAUUCUUAGAAUUAAAGGUAGAUUCUUUGAUAAAAUAUCAUUUCUAGGUCAGAGACUUAUCCCCAAUUGAUUCCCGUCAAACUCUAUUAAAACUCGACCCAAAAAGCUCUUGAAAUGAUUCAAAAAUGGAGGAAAUAUGAAAUGGGUCGCGGAUGAAAUGUAACAUAAAACUCUCUAUCGCCCAACUUUUUCUUCUAUGCGAGCACGAGACUCCCUCGCGUUCACGAAGCAGAAGAAUUCCUCAGACAAAAUUAACCUUUCGCAAAUGCGGAACUCCACCCACGAACGCGAUCAUUGAACAGCUGAUACUAACCGAACGCGACCCCUUCAACGCGAAUGCGAAGCUCCACGAUCCCCUCUUACGCGAACGCAACUUCUAUGUCGCAAACACAUUGAACGACCUAGGCAGGUCCUCCAGGCCCUUCUACGCGAACGCGAAGAGACCACAGGGAAUGCGAUGACUCAGGACAUCUCCACUACGCAAACGCGAUCACCCCUCUGCGAACGCGAAGCACAAGAGUAGUCUACAACUAUUUCUAUUUUUCUGCAAUAAAUCCUAAGUCCAAACUUCCCGUUUAACCAUCCGAAACCACCCCUGAGGCCCCCAGGACCUCAACCAAAUACACCAAUAUAUCCCAAAACAUCAUACAAACCUAUUCCAAUCAUCAAAACGCGUCAAACAACACUAAAAUCAUCAAUUCCCCAUGGAUUCAAGCCUAAAUUUCUUCAAAACUUCUGAAACACACAUUCGAUCAAAAACUUAACCAAACGACGCCUAAAUGACCUAAAAUUUUGCACACAUAUCCAAAAUCACCUAACGGAGAUACUACAACUCUCGGAAUUCCAUUCCGAGCCUAAUUCUACACCGGACCUCCAAAUUCAAUUCCGAUUUCACUCCUAAGUCACAAAUCAUCCGCUGAAGCUAACCGAACCAUCGAAAUUCACAUCCGAACCCUCUAUCUAAAUAGUCAACUUCCAGUUGACUUUUCCCCAAACAAGCUUUCCUUUAAGAGACUAAGUGUCUCAUUUCCAUCUAAAACAAAUCCAAUUCUACCCGAUCGACUCAAAUAGUAAUAUUAAAAGAUAGAGCUGCAUAAUAUGGGGAAAACGAGGAGGUAGCUCACGUGAAGACGGGCCGGGUCAUCACAUCCUUCCCAACUAAAACAAACACUCGUCCUCGAGCGGGUCAAGAAACAUACCUGGAGUCUCAAAUAAGUGAGGCUAUCUGCUCCGCAUCUCCUGCUCGGUCUCCCAUGUGGCCUCCUCCACGGGCCGAAGUCUCCACUGCACCUUCACUGAAGCUAUGUCCUUAGAUCUCAACAUCCGAACCUGACAAUCCAAAAUAGCCACUGGCUCCACAUCAUAGGUCAAGUCCUCAUCCAACUGGAUCGUGUAAAAGUCUAACACAUGAGAUGGGUCCUCAACAUACUUCAAGAGCGUAGAAAUAUGGAACACCGGAUGAACUCCCGACAAGCUGGGUGGCAAAGCAAGCAUAUAGGCCACCUCCCCAAUCGUCCGAAGUAUCUCAAAAGCUCCAAUGAACUGUGGACUCAGCUUCCCUUUCUUUCCAAACCUCAUACCGGCCUUCAUAGGUGAAACCUUCAACAAGACCUUCUCGCCCACCAUAUAAAAUACAUCUCGAACCUUCCGGUCCGCAUAACACUUCUGACGCGACUGAGCUAUACAAAGUCUCUCCUGGAUCACUUUCACCUUCUCUAAGGCGUCCUGACCUAACUCUGUCCCCAAUAGUCUAGCCUCGCCGGGCUCAAACUAACCAAUCGGAGAUCUACUUCGUCUCCUAUACAAAGCGUCAUACGGCGCUAUCUGAAUUAAGGAUUGAUAGUUGUUGUUAUAAGCAAACUCUUCAAGUGGCAAGAACUCCGCCCAAUAACUUCCAAAAUCAAUAACACAGGCACGUAACAUGUCCUCCAAUAUCUGGAUACUAUCUCGAACUGUCCGUCCGUCAAAGGAUGAAAUGUUGUGCUCAACUGUAUUUGUGUGCCCAACUCCUGAUGAAAAGUCCUCCAGAACUGGGAAGUAAACUGAGUACCCCUAUCAGAGACAAUAGAAACUAGGACCCCAUGCAACCAUAAAAUCUCUCGGAUGAAAAUCUCCGCUAAUCGCUCCGAAUAAUAGGUAAUACACACCAGAAUGAGGUGCACGAACUUGGUUAGCCUAUCCACAAUCACCCAAAUCGAAUCAAAUUUCUUUGAGGUACGAGGGAGACCACUCACAAAAUCCAUAGUAAUACUCUCCCAUUUCCACUCUAGAAUCUCCAUCCGUCGAAGUACACCACCGAGCCUCUGAUGCUCAUAUUUGACAUGUUGACAGUUGGGACACUGAGCUAUGGAACUCACAAUAUCCUUUUUUAUUCUCCUCUACCAAUAAUGUUGUCUCAAAUCCUGGUACAUCUUGGCGGCACCCAGAUGAAUAGAAUACCGCGAGCCAUGGGCCUCGUCUAAUAUCAACUCUUGGAGCCCAUCCACAUUGGGCACGCAAAUCCGGCCCUGCAUCCUUCUAUUUGACCAGAUGUUGAAGACUGCGGUGAUCCGUGAACACCUCACAAGACACGCCAUAUAAAUAGUGCCUCAAAAUCUUCAAAGCAUGAACUAUAGCAGCCAACUCUAAGUCAUGAACAUGGUAGUUCUUCUCAUGAGGCUUCAGCUGACGAGAAGCAUAAGUAAUAACUCUACCCUUCUGCAUCAAUACACAACCGAUCCUAACUCUCGAAGCAUCACAAUACACCGUGUAAGAACCUGAAGCUGAUGGCAAUACUAGUACAAGAGUUGUGGUCAAAGCUGACUUGAGCUUAUGGAAGCUCUCCUCGCACUCAUCCAACCAAACAAAUGGAGCAUUCUUCUGCGUCAACUUCAUCAAAGGCGAAGCAAUAGAUAAAAAACCCUUAACGAACCUACGAAAAUAACCCGCCAAACCGAGGAAACUCCGAAUCUCAGUAGAUGAGGACGGUAUAGGCCAACUCUGCACCACCUCAAUCUUCUUUGGAUCAACUUGAAUACCAUCACAGGACACCACGUGUCCCAGAAAAGCCACAGAACUAAGCCAGAACUCACACUUGGAGAACUUUGCAUAGAGCUUCUCCUCUCUCAGUCUCUGCAAUACCACCCUCAAAUGUUGUGCAUCCUCCUUCUGACUACGCAAGUACACAUGAUAUCGUCAAUAAACACAAUCACAAAUGAAUCGAGAUAUAGCCUAAAUAUACUAUUCAUCAAGUGCAUUUAUGCGGAUGGGGCAUUAGUCAGCCCAAAUGACAUAACCAGAAACUCAGAGUGCCCAUAUCUCGUCUUGAAGGCCGUCUUUAUAAUGUAUGAAUACCUAAUCUUCAACUGGUGAUAGCCUGAACGGAGAUCAAUCGUAGAGAAUACCUUUGCCCCCUGAAUCUGGUCAAACAAAUCCUCGAUACAAGGUAGUGGAUACUUGUUCUUCACUGUCACCUUGUUCAACUAUCUGUAGUCAUUGCACAUUCUCAUUUUACCAUCCUUCUUCUUUACAAAUAAGACCGGUGCACCCCACGGUGACACACUCGGGCGAAUGAACCCCUUAUCUAGGAGUUCCUGAAGCUGCUCAUUUAACUCCUUUAGCUGUGUUGGUGCCAUGCGAUAGGGAGGAAUAGAGAGGGGCUGAGUUCCCGGCACCAGAUCAAUACCGAAGUUAAUGUCCCUGUCCGGCGGCAUGCCCGGUAGGUCCGCUGGAAAUACAUCAAGGAAAUCUAUCACAACUGAAACUGAAUCAAGACUAGAAAUCUCGGCUCCAACAUCUAUAACGAAUUCCAAGUACGAUAAACAACCCUUCCCAACCAUCCGCUAGGCCUUUAAGAAAGAAAUCACCCUGUCGGGCACAUAAUUAGUCAGACCUCGCCGCUCGAUCCUCGAAAUACUUGGAAUAGCCAACGUAACUGUCUUGGCAUGACAGUCCAAAAUAGCAUGGUACAGGGAUAGCCAACCCGUACCCAGAAUCACAUCAAAAUCUACCAUGCCCAACAAUAACAAGUCAACUCAUGUCUCCAGACCCCCAAUUGUCACUAGACACGAUUGAUAUACAUGAUCCUCAAUAAUAGUAUCACCCACCAGGGUAUAUACGUGCACAGGUAAGGCAAGACAACCAUGGGUCGUACCCAAAUAUGAGCAAAAUAUGAAGAUACAUAGGAAUAGGUAGAUCCGAGAUCAAAUAAGACAGAAGCAUCCAUGUGGCAGACUGGGAUAAGACUUGUGAUAACAACAUCUGAUGCAAUAGCGUCCCUCCUAUCUGGAAGAGCAUAGAAUCAAGCCUGACCACCGCCAGCCCGAUCUUCACCCCCUGGGGCGACCUCUGGUUACCUCGCCUCCACCCUUAGUUGACUGAGUGGGUGCUGAAGAAAUAGGAGCAGAAGAUAAGGGCUGAUCCCUCUGCUCUGUCUGACUACCACAGAGCCGAGGACACUGUCUCCUCAAAUGAAACACUGUCUCCUCAUAUGACCCAACUCACCACAUUCCUAGCAACGAGCUGGAGCUGCAUAAGGGGAUUGAAGGGAUCCCCUCGCUGCAGAUGAACCCUAGGCUGAAGAGGCAGGAGUAGUACUCUGAGCUGGAAGAGCACUAAGUGAAGAAUGGUCCUGCUAGUAACCCUGAUGACCACGGCCUGAAGAAGCCCCACUAGACUCUGUAUGACCUGACUGAGGAGGUCCGAAGGAACGACCUCUGCCGCACUGGAACUGGCUCCUAGACGGAGCACCACUGAAGCUACCUGCACCUCGAGGCCUCUUGGCCUCCCUCUCUUCACGCUCCCUGCGAUAUCUGUCUCAAUCUGACGAGCCAUAUCUACUACCUCUUCAAAAUAAGUGGCCACAACCCUCUCUCUAGUCAUCAAGAUGUGGAUGGGAUAGUUUAGGCCUUCCACGAACCUCCUAAUCCUCUUCCGAUCUAUCAGGAUCAACCAUGUAGCAUGCCGAGCUAGCUGUGUAAACCUCAACUCAUACUGGGUCACAGUCUUAUCCCCCUGAAUCAACCACUCAAACUGACAACGCAGCUCCACUCUGCGAGACUGCGGUACAUACUUCUCCAGAAAGAGAGUGGAGAACUACUUCCAAGUAAGGGCGCUGCUCCAACAGGCCUACGCCUCUCAAAUUCCUCCCACCUUGUAAAUGCAGGCCCUGAGAACUAGAAAGUAGUAAAAUCCACUCCACUCGACUCCAAUAUCUCUGCAGUGCGAAGCAUAUGCUGACACUUAUCUAGAAAUCCCUGGACAUCCUCCCCGUCAGUACCACUGAAUAUCGGAGGUUGGAGCCUACCGAACUUCUCCAGACGACGCUGCUUGUCAUAUGGCAUAGAUGGAACCACAAAGUUUGGAGCUAGUGCAACUGGGGAAGCUGGUGUUACUGGGUGAAUUGGUACAACUCGGGCAACUGGUGCAACUGGGGCUGCUCCCGGUGUCUGCAGUCCCUGAAAACCCUGCUCGAGUGUGCGAGCAGCGGGGGUAUGCUGACCACCCCUAUUCUGAUAAGUAGCUAGUGUAGUAGUUUCUAAGGCGUCCUGAGCCAUGCUAGUGCAGAUAGAUAAAAUUUGAGCUAAAGCCUCCUGGAGAACAGGAAUCACAAUGGGCACUAUCGGUGCCUAAAGAAGUGUUGCUAGAGCAUCUACAGUUGGAGGUUGGUCUUGAACUUGGGCAGCAGGUGCAUAUGCAGGUGCUGCGCUCGCUGGUCUACCUCAACCCAGAACCCGACCACAGCCUCUAGCGGGUGGAAAUGGUGGUCGUAAAUCACGUCCGGUAGCACGAGUUCCCGCUAUCUGCGAGAGAAUGUAAUACAGAAGUGUAGGUCUUAGAACAACAAAGCCGCACGACAAGAGUUUAAGAAUAUGAAGUGUUUCCUAAAGGUUCUGCAGCCUCUCGAGGAUAAAUACAGACGUCUCCGCACAGAUCCGCGAGACUCUACUAACUGGCUCAUGGCUCAUGACGCCUAGUAACCUAGGCUCUGAUACCAACUUGUCACGACCCCAAUCCCGAUCGUGAUGACGUCCAACAAUAAAUUCUAGGCAAACUCGACCAAUUAACAAUCACAACGCAACCACACAACCCAUUUCCAAUUUAUAGCAUUAAAUUAUCAAGUAAUAUAGUUCUAACCAGUAAUAAUAGACAAAGGUAUUAAGAAAAUCAUAACAAUUGCCAAUAACACUCCCAAAGACCUGGGGUCAUGAGUCUAGAGCCACUAAGAUAACGAAAUAAUAAAUCCUCAGUAAUUCUGAUGUUCACAAAUGCGGAAAUAAUAAAGGGAUAGGGGAGGAGUCGGGCCCUGUGCACAUCAGACAGCUACCUCGACAACUCAUGAGAAACUCUAAAACAGCAAAAAGCUCAACUAUGCUCCCGAGGUGCCUGAAUCUGCACACAUGGUGCAUGGAGUAAAAUGAGAACUUCCAACUCAGUGGUAAUAGACAUGUAUAAUGACUGAAAGUAUGAAAUCCCGAAAAUACCACAAUGUGAAGUUGAAACUAACAACUUAGCAUAUUUCACGGUGAAACAACAACAAAUCAGAGACAGGUAGACAUAUAGAUAUCAAUGCAUGAAUUCAAUGCAAUGCACACGACCGCUGAGGCGUGCAGCCCGAUCCAUUGGUUACCCACGCUCACUAUGGGGGUUCACAAUCCGAAGGUGCUCCUACAGCCCAAGCGCAAGAUCAUCGUAGCAUUCGCUGCGGCGUGCAGCCUGAUCCACAAUCACUCCAAUUGUAUGCAUGUAAGCCACACAGGCACAAUCAAAUUUACUAUUUUCAGUUCCAUUUAUCGGAUAGUAUAGCUUAACUGUUUUAAAACCUUAGAAGUUUACUAAUCAUUUCAAGAAAGUGUUUAACUUAGGAUUGAUACCAUGGAAACAUGCUCAACAUUAUGGAAAUAGUGAUAAUAAUCGCUACGGGAUCCAAAUAAUCGGCACGCAGUCCAAAUAUGCUCAUAACAAUCCAAGUAGGACGUUUACCAAUCAAAUUCUAGUCAUUAACACGGUUUGGACAUCACUCGGACGGACUAAGACAUAGUCUCGUCCAUAAAUGAUCCUGAACUCACCGUAGAGUACGUGUAUCGACUCAAUACAAGUGACGUACCGGGGUUUCAAACCCUCAGGUCAUCAUCUACAUCUAUUACUCACCUCAAGCUGACCGAAGACUAGCUCUCAAUUCCCUUUCCUCUCAUAUCUGCCUCCUUGCACUUCGAAUCUGGCCAAAACCACAACGAAUACGUUACAAUAGGCAAACCAGACACAACCCAAUCGAAAAUACUCGAAAAAUACCAAAAAUCACGAAGUUGGCAAAACCCGAGCCCCGGGAUCACUUCUCCAAAAAUUACAAAAUUUAUAUCACUGGACUCCUCGUCUCGCCACGAGUCUAUACAUAUCAAAUUUACCAAAGUCGGAGUUCAAUUGCUCCCUAAAAUCCCAAAUUUUCAUUUCAAAAACCCAAGCCCUAGUUCUUCAAUUUUUCACCCAAAUUUCUAAGAAUUAAAGGUAUAUUCUUUGAUAAAAUAGCGUUUCUAGGUCACGAGACUUGCCCCAAAUAGAAUCCCAUCAAACUCUCUUCAUACUCGACCCAAAAAGCUCUUGAAUGGUUCAAAAAUGGAGGAAAUAAGAAAUGGGUCGCGGAUGAAAUGUAACAUAAAACCCUCUGUCGCCCAGCUUUUUCUUCUAUGCGAAACGCGAGAUACCCUCACGUCCACCAAGCACAAGAAUUACUCAAACAAAAUUAACCCUUCGUGAAUGCGGUGCUACAUCCGCGAACAUGAUUCCUUGAACAGCUGAUACUAUGCGAACGUGACCCCUUCAGCGCGAACGCGAAGCUCUGCGAUCCCCUCUUACGCGAACACGACUUCUAUGUCGCGAACGUACUGAACGACCUAGGCAAGGCCCCUAGGCCCUUCUAAGCAAACUCGGAGAGACCACAGCGAAUGCGAUGACCCAGGACAUCACCACUGCGUGAACGCGAUUACCCCUCCACGAACACGAAGCACAAGAGUGGUCUGCAACUUCUGCUCUUUUUCUACAAUAAAUCCUAAGUCUAAACUUCCCAUUUAACCAUCUGAAACCACCCCGAGGCCCCCGGGACCUCAACCAAAUACACCAACAUAUCCAAAAACAUUAUACGAAAUUAUACCAAUCAUCAAAACGCAUCAAACAACACUAAAAUUAUCAAUUCCCCACGGAUUCAAACCUAAGUUCCUUCAAAACUUCCGAAACACACAUUCGACCAAAACCUCAACCAAACGACGUCCAGAUGACCUAAAAUUUGGUACAUAUAUCCAAAAUCACCUAACGGAUCUACUAAUACUCUCAGAAUUCCAUUCCGAUCCUUGAAUAAAAAUCUCACCUAUCAACCGGAAUUCGCCAAAAUUCAAACUUCACCGAUUCAAGCCUAAUUCUACACCGGACUUCCAAAUUAAAUUCUGAUUUCACUCCUAAGUCAGAAAUCAUCCGCCGAAGCUAAACGAACCAUCGAAAUUUACAUCCGAACCCUCUAGCAAAAUAGUCAACUUCCAGUUGACUUUUUCCAGACAAGCUUUCCUGUAGGAGACUAAGUAUCUCAUUUACAUCUAAAACCAAUCCAAUUCUACCCGAUCCACUCAAAUACUAAUAUUGAAACAUAGAGCUGCAUAAUAUGGGAAAAACAGGCAGUAACUCACAUGACGACGAGUCGGGUUGUAACAGUUGAAUUUAAUAGUGAAGCCGCUCGGCUUGAGUCCCAGUUCAACCGAAGUUGAAUCUGUUAAAUUUGAUGGUGAAGGCGCUUGGCCUUAUAGUUCGAGCGAGGUCAAACCCAUUGAAUUUAAUGGUGAAGGCUCUUGGCCUGAGUCCCAGUUCAACCGAAGUUGAAUCUGUUAAAUUUGAUGGCGAAGGUGCUUGGCCUUAUAGUUCGAGCGAGGUGGAACUCAUUGAAUUUAAUGGCGAAGAUGCUUGCCUGAGUCCCAGUUCAACCGAAGUUGAAUCGAGGUCGAACUCGUUGAAUUUAAUGGCGAAGGCGCUUGGCCUGAGUCCCAGUUCAACCGAAGUUGAAUCUGUUAAAUUUGAUGGUAAUAGGCUUGGCCAUAUAGUUCGAGCAAGGUCGAACAUUUUGAAUUUAAUGGCGAAGGCACUUGGCCUGAGUCCCGGUUCAACUGAAGCUGAACUUGUUGAAUUUGACUGGCUCAAUGCCAUGGGUACCGAGUGUCGAGGCUUGGGUUUGAUUCGACAUCUUGUGUAGCCUAUACGUUGUCUUCCUAAUCAGAGUACCCAGGUUGUCAUGAGGUGACUCCCGGUUGGGGGAUAUCUACGCUGGUUUCGGGCUGGAUCCUGUAUCAGGGAAGUGGAAGAUGUCUUACAUAGAUCCUCCAUUGGGAGAGGGCUUCUUCUUCAACGUUGUUCGAAAUCAGAAGGGCAAAGGAUUUGGGUUUUCAUUGUGGCCUUCGAAUUUCUUUUGUCCGAUAUGCCGCUUUGGCUUGUCUGAGCUUGAUUGUUUGAAGAACUAUGCGAUUUUGCUAGGAAUUCCCCACAUACGGUGCCAAAUUGCUUGAGCCCAAAUUUUUCAAAUACUUUGUGAGCAUAAAACAAUAAAAAUAACCCAAGGGCAAAUCAUAGCAAAUCCUAACAAAUCAUUGGACCAAGCAAAAGACAUGAAGAACAAGCCUCGAGAAUUAGGGGAAAAUAUAUUAAGUGACUUUAUUGAUUGUAGUUAUUUGAUCUGCCUUUCCUUGGAGAGGUUCAGAGUCUUACAAUGGUGUUCUCUUCUCCCAUAAUAUGAAUAUUAGUGUAUAUCUCUUUCUCGUGAAUAGUGUUGAAGAAGAUGCUCCCUUUCUUAGGGUUCUCUCUCUUGAUAUUUAUAGUUGUGAGCUUUGUGAGCUGGCAAUAAGUGGUCGUGACCAUGUAGAGGUAUCACCUUUGUAACUGCGGAAGGAUUGUGACCCUGUUGAUUAGAUCACAAGAGAGUCGAUUACCAUUAGUUUAGAGCGGUCAUACCACUUAUUAAUCAUGAAUUAAUUAGGACGGAAUUGGUUUCGUUAAUCGUCCUGGGGUCGAAAUACAACUUGGUUCCUCAACAUCUACAAUAAAGAAUCAUCCGAGAGAAACAAAAAAGUAUUUACUGACUAGUUAGGCACUUUAAAUUAUGAAUAAGAAUUACCUUCGUGAACUCUGAAGGAGUAGGAAUAAGAGUUCAUGAGAUUGCACAGUGGAAUUCAGGAAAAUGGGAUAAUUAGUGGAAAUGGGACUCCUAUUAUCAAGGCUUAGCGAUGGGAUUAACUUGAGGCAAAUUAUUAUUCUUAAUACAGUCCAAGAAGAUUGAAGUUCGCUAGUUACAAACAAAAAUUUUAGUCCUAGAGUUGAAGUUCGACAGAAAACAAAAACUUCAGCUCUAGAGCUGAAUUUUGAUAGUUAUAAAACAAAAACUUUAGCUCUACAGUAUUCGCCAGUUACAAAACAAAAACUUUAGCUCUAGAGCUGAAUUUCCGCAGUUACAAAAAUAAAAACUUCAGCUCUAGUGAUAAAGUUCGCCAGUUACAAAACAAAAACUUCACCUCUAGAGCUUUUACCAGUUACAAAACAAAAACUUCAGCACAUGUGGUUCAUCACACUUCCUACUUCAGCCCCGUAUGCUGAAAUUAUACGAAAAAAUGAAUGCGCUUGUAAUUUUUUUUACAAAGAGAUACAAGUUAAAACGUGACCCAAAAAGCGGGUAUAAAUACAAAUGCAUUCGAUAUCUUAAAUUUACUGGCUCGAGUAAUCUUGAUUUCUUCCAUAUCUAAUUUGAUGUCAACUACGGUUAUGUUUUCUUUGGUGCUUUUGGAAAUAAUUUUGGAGAUAAAUAUAUACUAAUUUGAUGUCAACUACGGUUGGCAGUCAGAAGUUUCUUUCAUAUUUUAGCAGUGUUUUUCAAUAUUUCUGGAUGUUAUAAGAUUCCUGGCUGUGGUAUGAAUAAAUAAACCUCAAUUAUACUAAUAAUAGCGUACUAAUUAAAUUUGAUUACAUAUCCAAGAAACUUUGUUUAUAUUGGCAUACUGAUUAUUGAUGUCACUAAAAUGAUUAUACGCGUCUAUAAAUUUAAUUACGUACAAGUUUCUAGCGUCAGCUCAAUUGCAAAAUAAAGUCAAAAUAACUCAAAAUAAAGAAAGAAGAAUUAACUCAUAUAGUAUUAUAUACAUAAUUUAUGUAUAUAAUUAUAUAUAAUUUAUAUAUUAUAUGUAUAUAAUACAUAAUAUAGAUGUAUAAUUAUAUAUAAACUAUGUAUAUGAUUAAAAAAAAAUAAUAAAUAUAACUAGCUAUUUGUGAAAUAAUCCCAUUCAAAUAUUGGAUGCUGGCAGGUAAUAUAUAUGCAUAUUUGGCCCAACAUUUUCAGCAGACUUCAAAGUAAUAAAAGGAAAACAUCGGACACUGGAAUAUUCUAGAGGGUUGAAAUGCUACAUCUUUUAUCACAAACAAGAAUGUGUAUUCAACAUGGUUGAUUUCGGGGCACAACUUGACUUUUAGUUCGGUGCCUUGGUUCGAUGCCAACACCAGUAUUUGUUUAAAUUUUUAUUCGAUAAUGGUGUCAUUGUCAAAGAGGAGUAUUUUUAUCAUAUAAUUAAUAGAUCAUGAGUUUGAGCCGUGAAAAUAAUAUCUUGCAAAAUUAUACGGUGAAACGGCGUAUAAUAGACUCUGAUGAAA